CGGAGGGUGCGAGCGUUGUUCGGAAUCACUGGGCGUAAAGGGCGUGUAGGCGGUCCGCUAAGUCUGAUGUGAAAGCCCGGGGCUCACCCCCGGAAGGGCAUUGGAAACUGGCGGACUCGAGUCCCGGAGAGGAAGGUGGAAUUCCUGGUGUAGCGGUGAAAUGCGUAGAUAUCAGGAGGAAUACCGGUGGCGAAGGCGGCCUUCUGGACGGUGACUGACGCUGAGACGCGAAAGCGUGGGGAGCAAACAGGAUUAGAUACCCUGGUAGUCCACGCUGUAAACGAUGAGCACUAGGUGUCGUGGGUAUUGACCCCCGCGGUGCCGACGCUAACGCAUUAAGUGCUCCGCCUGGGGACUACGGCCGCAAGGUUA
rnacentral:rRNA from 1 species